UACGAAGGGGGCUAGCGUUGUUCGGAUUUACUGGGCGUAAAGCGCACGUAGGCGGGUUGUUAAGUCAGGGGUGAAAUCCCGGAGCUCAACUCCAGAACUGCCUUUGAUACUGGCAACCUAGAGGCUGGAAGAGGUUAGUGGAAUUCCCAGUGUAGAGGUGAAAUUCGUAGAUAUUGGGAAGAACACCAGUGGCGAAGGCGGCUAACUGGUCCAGAUCUGACGCUGAGGUGCGAAAGCGUGGGGAGCAAACAGG
rnacentral:rRNA from 1 species